rnacentral:tRNA from 1 species
GCCCGGAUGGCGGAAUGGUAGACGCGCUCGACUCAAAAUCGAGUGAGGAAACUCAUGAGAGUUCGAGUCUCUCUCCGGGCA